GAGUUUGAUCCUGGCUCAGGACGAACGCUGGCGGCGUGCUUAAAACAUGCAAGUCGAACGGGGUCCAACCUUCGGGUGAAGACCUAGUGGCGAACGGGUGAGUAACACGUGAGCAACCUACCCCAGAGACCGGGAUAAGCGAGGGAAACUUCGUCUAAUACCGGAUAAUCUCCUCCCGCUACUAACGGGUUGAGCAAAUGGUUUUUCGCUUUGGGAUGGGCUCGCGCACUAUCAGCUUGUUGGUGGGUAAUGGCCUACCAAGGCAUCGACGGUUAGCUGGUCUGAGAGGAUGGUCAGCCACACUGGGACUGAGACACGGCCCAGACUCCUACGGGAGGCAGCAGUUAGGAAUCUUGCGCAAUGGGGCGAAAGCCUGACGCAGCAACGCCGCGUGAGGGAUGAAGGCUCUCGGGUUGUAAACCUCUUUCAGCAGGAACGAAAUUGACGGUACCUGCAGAAGAAGCACCGGCCAACUACGUGCCAGCAGCCGCUGUAAC
rnacentral:rRNA from 1 species